rnacentral:rRNA from 1 species
UUUAGGGCCCCAGCUCCCCGUCGGGGGUCCGUCCCGAUAGGUUCGUUCCUGAAAGGGAACCUGUUAAACGGUUGCCACAUUCAAGGAAGGCAGUCGAAUAUUUAUUACCAUUCCUGACACAUGAAGGUGGAGUCCAAUAAUAACUAUGCCUGGCUUUAUCAAGUAAGGAAAUUUAAAUGAGAACAAUUGACAUUCUAUAGCGAGGUUCAAAUGGAGGGCAAGUCUGAUGCCUUCAACCUGGUUAAUUCCAGCUCCAAUAACGUAUAUAAAAUUUGAUGCCGUUAAAAAGCCCGAAGUUGCACUUCUGGUUGGCCUGCCGGCCUGGCUCCUCGGGAGCAGUGGAUUCUUCACGUCCUGCCUUCCCUCCGGUUUUCUUUGAUGGCUUUAAGGUGUCG